CCUACGGGAGGCAGCAGUGGGGAAUCUUCCGCAAUGGGCGAAAGCCUGACGGAGCAACGCCGCGUGAUCGAAUGAAGGCCUUCGGGUUGUAAAGAUCUGUUGACAGGGACGAAUAAGCCAUGCGAAUCGUUUGGUGUAUGACGGUACCUGUUUAGAAAGCUCCGGCUAACUACGUGCCAGCAGCCGCGGUCAUACGUAGGGAGCAUGCGUUGUCCGGAAUUACUGGGCGUAAAGGGCGCGUAGGUGGGUGCUUAAGUCAGGUGUGAAAACUCUGGGCUCAACCUGGGGACUGCACUUGAAACUGGGUAUCUUGAGGGCAGGAGAGGAAAGUGGAAUUCCUAGUGUAGCGGUGAAAUGCGUAGAUAUUAGGAGGAACACCAGUGGCGAAGGCGACUUUCUGGACUGUACCUGACGCUGAGGCGCGAAAGCGUGGGUAGCGAACGGGAUUAGAUACCCGAGUAGUC
rnacentral:rRNA from 1 species